AACGCACAUUGCGCCUCUUGGUAUUCCGAGGGGCAUGUCUGUUUGAGCGUCAGUACACACCUCCUCUGGGACUUUUCAUGGUCCCGGCAGGGUCUUGGGACGGCCGCGGCUCCGGCCAGGCCUCCCUAAUGUGGCACGCUUGCGGGCUCCCAGUGAGAUGUCAACGUAGUAAAUUUCAAACUCGUCGCGUUCCUCUGGAGGGCCCCGCCUGAAUCAAACUUCUAAGGUUUGACCUCAGAUCAGACAAGGAUACCCGCUGAACUUAA
rnacentral:misc_RNA from 2 species